rnacentral:rRNA from 1 species
CCCUUAGAUGUUCUGGGCCGCACGCGCGCUACACUGAUGCAUUCAACGAGUUUUUCCUGGUCCGAGAGGAAUGGGUAACCUUUUGAAAGUGCAUCGUGCUAGGGAUAGACUAUUGCAAUUAUUGGUCUUCAACGAGGAAUUCCUAGUAGACGUAGUUCAUCAGACUGCAUCGAUUACGUCCCUGCCCUUUGUACACACCGCCCGUCGCUCCUACCGAUUGAAUGGUCCGGUGAAAUGUUCGGACCGCGACAAGGCGGACGGUUCGCUGUCAGCUUUGCUGCGGGAAGUUCAUUAAACCUUAUCAUUUAGAGGAAGGAGAAGUCGUANCA